UGCAGUCGACGAGAACGGAUAUUAGCUUGCUAAUAUUGUCAGCUAAGUGGCGCACGGGUGAGUAAUAUAUAGUUAAUCUGCCCCAAAGAAGAGAAUAAUUGUUGGAAACGACUUGUAACGCUCUAUAUGCCUUUAUUACAUAAGUAAGCAAGGGAAACAUUUAUGGCUUUGGGAUGAGACUGUACGGUAUCAACUAGUUGGUGAGGUAAUGGCUCACCAAGGCAAUGACAUCUAACUGGUUUGAGAGGAUGAUCAGUCACACUGGAACUGAGACACGGUCCAGACUCCUACGGGAGGCAGCAGUGGGGAAUAUUGCACAAUGGAGGAAACUCUGAUGCAGCAACGCCGCGUGGAGGAUGACACAUUUCGGUGCGUAAACUCCUUUUAUAUGAGAAGAUAAUGACGGUAUCAUAUGAAUAAGCACCGGCUAACUCCGUGCCAGCAGCCGCGGUAAUACGGGGGGUGCAAGCGUUACUCGGGAUCACUGGGCGUAAAGAGCAUGUAGGCUGGUUUGUAAGUUGGAAGUGAAAUCCUAUGGCUUAACCAUAGAACUGCUUCCAAAACUGCAGACCUAGAAUAUGGGAGAGGUAGAUGGAAUUUCUGGUGUAGGGGUAAAAUCCGUAGAGAUCAGAGGGAAUACCGAUUGCGAACGCGAUCUACUGGAACAUUAUUGACGCUGAGAUGCGAAAGCGUG
rnacentral:rRNA from 1 species